rnacentral:rRNA from 1 species
GAUGAACGCUAGCUAUAGGCUUAACACAUGCAAGUCGAGGGGUAACAAGGAGAGAGCUUGCUCUUUCUGUUGACGACCGGCGCACGGGUGAGUAACACGUAUCCAACCUACCGUAUACACUGGGAUAUCUCUAGAAGACAUCUGAAAGAGAUUAAAGAUUUAUCGGUGAUGGAUGGGGAUGCGUCUGAUUAGCUUGUUGGCGGGGUAACGGCCCACCAAGGCGACGAUCAGUAGGGGUUCUGAGAGGAAGGUCCCCCACAUUGGAACUGAGACACGGUCCAAACUCCUACGGGAGGCAGCAGUGAGGAAUAUUGGUCAAUGGGCGCAGGCCUGAACCAGCCAAGUCGCGUGAGGGAGGACGGUCCUACGGAUUGUAAACCUCUUUUGUCGGGGAGUAACGUGCGGGACGCGUCCCGUAUUGAGAGUACCCGAAGAAAAAGCAUCGGCUAACUCCGUG